AGCUCCAAUAGCGUAUAUUAAAGUUGUUGCAGUUAAAAAGCUCGUAGUUGAAUUUCGGGGUUAGUAGGUUGGUCAUGCCUCUGGUAUGUACUGGUCUCACUGAUUCCUCCUUCCUGAUGAACCGUAAUGCCAUUAAUUUGGUGUUGCGGGGAAUUUGGACUGUUACUUUGAAAAAAUUAGAGUGUUUAAAGCAAGCUAACGCUUGAAUACAUUAGCAUGGAAUAAUGAAAUAGGACGUUCGAUCCUAUUUUGUUGGUUUCUAGGAUUGACGUAAUGAUUAAUAGGGAUAGUUGGGGGCAUUAGUAUUCAAUUGUCAGAGGUGAAAUUCUUGGAUUUAUUGAAGACUAACUACUGCGAAAGCAUUUGCCAAGGAUGUUUUCA
rnacentral:rRNA from 1 species